rnacentral:rRNA from 1 species
CCUACGGGUGGCAGCAGUGAGGAAUAUUGGUCAAUGGACGAGAGUCUGAACCAGCCAAGUAGCGUGAAGGAUGACUGCCCUAUGGGUUGUAAACUUCUUUUAUAUGGGAAUAAAAUGUUCCACGUGUGGGAUUUUGUAUGUACCAUAUGAAUAAGGAUCGGCUAACUCCGUGCCAGCAGCCGCGGUAAUACGGAGGAUCCGAGCGUUAUCCGGAUUUAUUGGGUUUAAAGGGAGCGUAGGUGGAUUGUUAAGUCAGUUGUGAAAGUUUGCGGCUCAACCGUAAAAUUGCAGUUGAAACUGGCAGUCUUGAGUACAGUAGAGGUGGGCGGAAUGCGUGGUGUAGCGGUGAAAUGCUUAGAUAUCACGAAGAACUCCGAUUGCGAAGGCAGUUCACUGGACUGCAACUGACACUGAGGCUCGAAAGUGUGGGUAUCAAACAGGAUUAGACACCCGUGUAGUC